rnacentral:rRNA from 1 species
GACGUAGGGGACGAGCGUUGUUCGGAUUUACUGGGCGUAAAGGGCGCGUAGGCGGCCACCGCAAGUCAGUUGUGAAAUCUCCGAGCUUAACUCGGAAAGGUCAACUGAUACUGCGGGGCUAGAGUGCGGAAGGGGCAACUGGAAUUCUUGGUGUAGCGGUGAAAUGCGCAGAUAUCAGGAGGAACACCGAUGGCGAAGGCAGGUCUCUGGGCAUUAACUGACGCUGAGGAGCGAAAGCAUGGGGAGCGAACAGG